rnacentral:rRNA from 1 species
UACAGAGGGCUCAAGCGUUGUUCGGAUUCAUUGGGCGUAAAGGGCGCGUAGGUGGCUCGCUAAGUCAGGUGUGAAAUUUCGGAGCUUAACUCCGAAACUGCAUUUGAUACUGGCGUGCUUGAGGACUGGAGAGGAGACUGGAAUUCAUGGUGUAGCAGUGAAAUGCGUAGAGAUCAUGAGGAAGACCAGUGGCGAAGGCGGGUCUCUGGACAGUGACUGACACUGAGGCGCGAAGGCCAGGGGAGCAAACGGG